CCCUUAGAUGUCCUGGGCCGCACGCGCGUUACACUGAUGCAUUCAACGAGCUUAUAACCUUGGCCGAGAGGCCUGGGCAAUCUUGUUAACGUGCAUCGUGAUAGGGAUAGAUUAUUGAAAUUAUUAAUCUUGAACGAGGAAUUCCUAGUAAACGCAGAUCAUCAAUCUGCAUUGAUUACGUCCCUGCCCUUUGUACACACCGCCCGUCGCUACUACUGAUUGGAUGUUUAAGCGAGGUUCUCGAACUGCUAGUGACUGAUCUUCGGUGAGGUCGCAGUGUGGGAAGUGAACCUAGCUUUGGUGUCUAGAGGAAGUAAAAGUCGUAACA
rnacentral:rRNA from 1 species